UUUCUUGUUUUCUUUAGGGUCCUGUCGAAAACAAUUAGAUGAGGUUUUUACCUAGCCUUUCAAGUUACAUCUCACAUGUAACAUUCUGUUUUGUAUUCCCUAGUCACCCAAACCCACUCUUCUCAAAUCCUCCCAUAUGCAUGAGUCAUACCAUAAACUAGCUAGCCAGCUCGCUUAUAAUCCAUCCUGUAUUGUUGCUUUUGCUUACAUACAAAGGGUGUCC
rnacentral:lncRNA from 1 species